rnacentral:rRNA from 1 species
GUAGGGUGCGAGCGUUAAUCGGAAUUACUGGGCGUAAGGCGUGCGCAGGCGGUCUGUUAAGACAGAUGUGAAAUCCCCGGGCUCAACCUGGGAACUGCAUUUGUGACUGGCAGGCUAGAGUACGGCAGAGGGGGGUAGAAUUCCACGUGUAGCAGUGAAAUGCGUAGAGAUGUGGAGGAAUACCGAUGGCGAAGGCAGCCCCCUGGGCCAAUACUGACGCUCAUGCACGAAAGCGUGGGGAGCAAACAGGAUUAGAUACCCUGGUAGUCCACGCCCCUAAACGAUGUCAACUAGUUGUUGGGGAUUCAUUUCCUUAGUAACGUAGCUAACGCGUGUAAGUUGACCGCCUGGGAGUACGGUCGCAAGAUUA